rnacentral:misc_RNA from 1 species
CGAUCACGCCUACUUUUCCAAUUACCCUGUGGAUCACACCACACUGGCCACGUUUCAGUCGGCGCCUAAGACACUAGACCUCACCGACCAAAACUGAGAACAUAUAAAAACCCAAGACACCCUUGCAAAAAAUAGAAAACCUAGUCCUCAGAGGACUCCUUGUCUGCUGAUAUUUUCUUGCUUUAUUGAUCAUGGAUGAGCUUCGGAUAGGGUGCUGCCACCGAAG